GGGGAACAAAAGUGAUUGAAGAUGGCAAACGGGAGGGCUGAACAGAAACUGAGACAGAUAAAGUUUGUAUGUACAGGGACAUAAGAGGUUUAGGAACAGAGAGACUCAAGUUGGGAAAAGGGGUAUGGACAAAGGGACACAACUGAGGGAAAGGGGGAUAUAUGUAGAGGGAUGCAAGUGAGGGAAGCAUGAGUGAGGGCAAAGGGAGACAAGUGGAGGGAGAGGCGUAUGAGGCGAU